ensembl:snoRNA SNORD115 Small nucleolar RNA SNORD115
GGGUCAAUGAUGAGAACUCAUAUGGUCUGGAAGACAGAUGAUGACCUAAAGAUUAUGCUCAAUAGGAUUACCUGAGGCCC